GCCCAUGUCCGUCCCCGACCUCACGGCGGAGGAACUGGCCUACUAUGCUUCCCUCCGCCUCGAAGAUCCCGAUGAAGCGGCGCUGGCGGCCUUUUUAGCGGACGUGGAGCAGGCGCACGAGGGCCACCCCAGCGAUACCGGCACCGCUCCAUCGAGCAAUGUGGCAUCCGCUAUUGGGAACGGGGGAGCGCUUCUCACGCCAAGCUGGGUGCCUGCAGGUGCGCGCCUCGACAGCAGUGAUGUGGAGGGGGUGCCGCCUCAACGUGGUGCUGCAUCCCUCGACCGACAGCACUCUUCAACCUUCGUGUCCACAGGGCUGGCGAUCAGGCGGAUCUCCGCAAGGCUAUUCCCUGCGCCUCGGUCAGCUACCACCGACAGUGGCACCCGCUACGGUGUCACACAGGUGCUGGAGAAAGACAGCCUCGUCGGCGGCGUAGCAGGUAUUGCGGAUGCCGCUCUGCAGACCCGGUGCGUUGAGCUUCCAGCGAGGCAGCUUACUUCUAUUGCCCCUGUGCAGUGUUUCUUGAACGCCACACAUGUGUAUCUCCAGCACAACGCACUGGCUGGCCUGGAAGGCGUCGAGCUGCUCUCCCAGCUCCAGGUGUUGGUGGUGCACCACAAUCAGCUUACCUCACUCGCCCCGCUGCAACAGCUGGAGUGCCUCUCGUACCUCGAUGUGAAUCACAACAACGUGAGCUCUUCGGUGGACGUACUGCUGCGCGACGAACUCCCCUGCCCGAGCCUUAAAAGUCUGAACCUCUCCAACAACCCGUGCUGGAGUCGGUGCGGCGGGGCAGUGAGUGACGGCGAUGGUGGAGAGCGGCACCGCGCGUACGUGCAGCAGAUUUGCACCGCUUGCCCACUGCUCGAGCGGCUUGACGACCUGGACGUUGAUGACGGUGAGGAGGUGGUGCAGCACAGCGACAGUAGCACUGAGAGCGGUGUGAACGAUGUGGCAGAGAGGCGGUCCGCCAGCGCCGCAGGCAUCACCGUUAGGCGUGUGCAAGGCUCCGUGGAAGCGGCACGUGCAGCCAGUUCUCAUGCACGUGUUCACGAUAUCCACACUCGCAGUAGUCCCGCACCGCCUGGCUCCCUCGCUAGCGGCGAGGCAGAGCUCUCUGCUCGACCUCCCCGCAGUGCUCACGUGAACAAGGCCCGUUUGCUGGAAGAGGAGCAGGCACGGCUGGUGCAUCAGCUGUUCCUGCGGCGCGCCGCUGGCACUGCACCGGAAAGCCCGAAGGCGGUCAACACAGUUUCGGCCUCGCCCCUACACCCCAACCGCAGCAGGACCGGUAGUGGCCACUUCCACCCAAGAGAUGCAGCGAAAGAAGCACCGGCAGAGCAGAAGACAAGGCAGCCAGCCGACAGCACGGCUGAUGUGUCUGCUCUCUACAGCACGCGGGGUGACACCCUCCAACUCUACCAUAACUUGCAGUUCACGCAAGAGGUGAGUCAGGCACGGCUGCAACGCGACGUGGUGGCGCACUGGGACGACGUGUCGCGGGUGUUGCAGACGGUGCAGGCGUUGCAGCAAGACCGACGGCGCCGAAUACAGCAGAGGCUGCAGGAGCAGACGUCAGCGUACACGGAGUCGCUGAUUAUGCUCGAGAAGGAGUCGUUCACAAAGGACCUCGACCGCUAUCGCAGCAGUGAUGGGAGCCGGAGAGGUGCACCAACCGGCAUCAACGCCGCUGCAAGUGCCCCUGUAGCUCCGCCGGCAGUUGCCACGCCGAACGCUAUCGCAGCCGUGGCGCAUACUAACGCUGCCGUUGAUGGAAAUUGUUCGUCGAAAGCCUCCUCCACAUCCAUUCAACCACCGGAGGAGCCCAAAGGGAAGACCAAGAAGGGUCCGAGUGUGCCGAAGCCGCCUCCGCGUCGUUGAGUUUCUGCUGUGGGCUACGCGUCUUGCUCUUUGCCCUCCUUCAGCUGCGGAUGCGCAGGUGGUAGACGGAGGCGAGUGUGGCUGAAGUGUCGCUGCCUGCUCCGAGCGCCGGCAGCGGCUUCACCACCACCACUUCCCUCUCUCCAAGCACACGCGCACGCACGUUUGAUGUACAGCGCACAUCUCCCUCUCCCUCCCGUACGCCACUUUGUCUGAUUUCGUUGCAAGCCAAUGUGCGCUGGAGUCUCCCUCGAGUCGAGUCCCCCUCCCCCCUCCCUCCUCCUUCCUCCCACACGUGGGAAGGGCACAUCUCGGCGAGGGAAGGAGGCAGGAGUGCCGUGAGCGCUUCCCGAUUAUAGGGGGAAGGUAAGAUACUGCGUCAAGAAGGUGC
rnacentral:misc_RNA from 1 species